rnacentral:rRNA from 1 species
UACGGAAGGGGCAAGCGUUGUUCGGAAUCACUGGGCGUAAAGCGCGUGUAGGCGGCCGGGCAAGUCGGAUGUGAAAUCCCGAGGCUCAACCUCGGAACUGCAUUCGAAACUGCUCGGCUCGAGUCCCGGAGAGGAUGGCGGAAUUCCCGGUGUAGGGGUGAAAUCCGUAGAUAUCGGGAGGAACACCAGUGGCGAAGGCGGCCACUCUGGGACGGUGACUGACGCUGAGACGCGAAAGCGUGGGGAGCAACAGG